GAUGAACGCUAGCUACAGGCUUAACACAUGCAAGUCGAGGGGAAACGACAUCGAAAGCCUGCUUUUGAUAGGCGUCGACCGGCGCACGGGUGAGUAACGCGUAUCCAACCUGCCCACCACUUGGGGAUAACCUUGCGAAAGUAAGACUAAUACCCAAUGACGUCUCUAGAAGACAUCUGAAGGAGAUUAAAGAUUUAUCGGUGAUGGAUGGGGAUGCGUCUGAUUAGCUUGUUGGCGGGGUAACGGCCCACCAAGGCGACGAUCAGUAGGGGUUCUGAGAGGAAGGUCCCCCACAUUGGAACUGAGACACGGUCCAAACUCCUACGGGAGGCAGCAGUGAGGAAUAUUGGUCAAUGGGCGAGAGCCUGAACCAGCCAAGUAGCGUGCAGGAUGACGGCCCUAUGGGUUGUAAACUGCUUUUAUAAGGGAAUAAAGUGAGUCUCGUGAGACUUUUUGCAUGUACCUUAUGAAUAAGGACCGGCUAAUUCCGUGCCAGCCGCCGCAGUAA
rnacentral:rRNA from 1 species